UGGGCUCCUCUGGGACUGGGCUGGCUUCUCAGACUCUAAUAAUGGGGUUUCCCUGGAGAUGGGGUCUGAGUGCACCAGAGGGUCAGCAAGAUGGUGUCAGAGUCCCAACUCCUCAUCCUCCUGGUGCUCUGGGCCUCAGGUGCCAGUGGGGACAUCAUGACAGACCAGUCUCCGGAAUCUGUGGCAAAGCCUCCAGGUGAGUCCAUCACAGUGCACUGCAAGUCCAGCCAGGUUGUUAGCAACUAUGUAGCCUGGUACGAGCAGAAACCUGGACAGGCUCCUAAACAGCUCAUCUACUAUGCAUCCAUCUGGGCUUCUGGGGUCCCCGACCGAUUCAGUGGCAGUGGGUCAGGGACAGAUUUCACUUUCACCACCACCAGUUGACAGCCUGAGGAU